rnacentral:rRNA from 1 species
GAUGAACGCUGGCGGCGUGCUUAACACAUGCAAGUCGAACGAAGCAUUUGCGACAGAUUUUUUCGGAAUGAGGUUGCUUAUGACUGAGUGGCGGACGGGUGAGUAACGCGUGGGUAACCUGCCUUGUACUGGGGGAUAGCAGCUGGAAACGGCUGGUAAUACCGCAUAAGCGCACAAUGUUGCAUGACAUGGUGUGAAAACUCCGGUGGUAUAAGAUGGACCCGCGUCUGAUUAGCUAGUUGGUGAGAUAACAGCCCACCAAGGCGACGAUCAGUAGCCGACCUGAGAGGGUGACCGGCCACAUUGGGACUGAGACACGGCCCAGACUCCUACGGGAGGCAGCAGUGGGGAAUAUUGCACAAUGGAGGAAACUCUGAUGCAGCGACGCCGCGUGAGUGAAGAAGUAAUUCGUUAUGUAAAGCUCUAUCAGCAGGGAAGAUAGUGACGGUACCUGACUAAGAAGCUCCGGCUAAAUACGUG